AGGACGAACGCUGGCGGCGUGCUUAACACAUGCAAGUCGAACGGUGACCUCGGAGCUUGCUCCGGGUGAUCAGUGGCGAACGGGUGAGUAACACGUGACCAACCUGCCCCCUUGCUCUGGGAUAACCCCCGGGAAACCGGAGCUAAUACCGGAUACGAGACCGUGCGGCAUCACGCGGUCUGGAAAGUUUUUCGGCAAGGGAUGGGGUCGCGGCCUAUCAGCUUGUUGGUGGGGUAAUGGCCCACCGAAGGCGACGGACGGGUAGCCGGCCUGAGAGGGCCGACGGGCCAACGACGUGGACUGGACGACGACGGCCCAGACUCCGACGGGAGCCAGCGAGUGGGAAUGUUAGCGCAAGUGGGCGAAAGCCGUAGACGCGAAGCGACCGCCGCGUGAGGG
rnacentral:rRNA from 1 species